rnacentral:rRNA from 1 species
AGAGUUUGAUCCUGGCUCAGAGCGAACGUUAGCGGCGCGCCUAACACAUGCAAGUCGCACGAGAAAGGGCUUCGGCCCCGGUAAAGUGGCGCACGGGUGCGUAACACGUAGGCAAUCUACCUUCAGGCGGGGGAUAACGUCCCGAAAGGGACGCUAAUACCGCAUGAGACCACGGAUCCUUCGGGAACUGCGGUCAAAGCUGGCCUCUUCUUGAAAGCUAGCACCUGAGGACGAGCCUGCGGCCCAUCAUUGCUAGUUGGUAGGGUAAUGGCCUACCAAGGCUAAGACGGGUAGCUGGUCUGAGAGGAUGAUCAGCCACACUGGAACUGAAACACGGUCCAGACUCCUACGGGAGGCAGCAGUGGGGAAUAUUGGACAAUGGGCGCAGGCCUGAUCCAGCGACGCCGCGUGAGUGAUGAAGGCCUUCGGGUUGUAAAGCUCUGUUGAGGGAGAAGAAAACGUUUGGCGCGAAUAGCUCCAGACCUUGACGGUAUCCCUUUAGAAAGCACCGGCUAACUCUGUGCCAGCAGCCGCGGUAAGACAGAGGGUGCAAACGUUGCUCGGAAUUACUGGGCGUAAAGCGCGUGUAGGCGGACUGGUAAGUCGGACGUGAAAUCCCUGAGCUCAACUCAGGAACUGCAUCCGAAACUAUCAGUCUGGAGUGGUGGAGAGGGAAGCAGAAUUCCUGGUGUAGAGGUGAAAUUCGUAGAUAUCAGGAGGAACACCGGUGGCGAAGGCGGCUUCCUGGACACUAACUGACGCUGAGACGCGAAAGCGUGGGGAGCAAACAGGAUUAGAUACCCUAGUAGUCC